rnacentral:lncRNA from 1 species
AGUACAAGAUAAGUGAAAUUACACAUAAUAAUAUACAUUGAAGAAUAAGAAACUACAUGCAAUAACUAAUAAUAUUUACUAAGAAGAAGAAGAAAACAGGAGGCCAGCUCAUGUCUUUUCCACACUAAGUGCGACAACACUCAAUUACUACUAACCUUCUAUCGGAAUACUUAACCUCCAUACUUACUAUUUAUAAGGUCAUAUGUUCUAAGUCGGUAGAAAUUCUCCCAAUUCUUCUUUGGUCUCUCUCUAUCAUUCUCUCCUAACUUCUGCUACAAUCAAUCUCUCACACUUCCUCACUAGCGCAUACUCAUACAUCUUCACUUGUCCGAAUCAUUUCACCUGGCGCCGCGCAUCUUGUCCACCAUGAAGAACACUCUUAACUUAUUCCAUAUAACUUCAUUUCGAAUCGUAUCUCUCAUAAUAUAUCCACACAUCUUAACAACUCAUCUCCGCAAUGCAACAACGAAUAUCAAAUACCAGAUGAAAAACGUAUCCAACCAAAAUGCCAUUAGUAGUGUGUAAUUCUGUUACUAUUGUUUUUUGGUCGUCCA